rnacentral:tRNA from 2 species
GGUCCGGUAGUUCAGUUGGUUAGAAUGCCGCCCUGUCACGGCGGAGGUCGCGGGUUCGAGUCCCGUCCGGACCGCUA